rnacentral:rRNA from 1 species
UCGGGAAUUUUGGGCAAUGGGCGAAAGCCUGACCCAGCAACGCCGCGUGAGGGAUGAAGUAUUUCGGUAUGUAAACCUCGAAAGAAUGGGAAGAAUAAAUGACGGUACCAUUUAUAAGCUCCGGCUAACUACGUGCCAGCAGCCGCGGUAAUACGUAGGGGGCAAGCGUUGUCCGGAUUUACUGGGUGUAAAGGGCGCGCAGGCGGAAUGGAAAGUCAGUGGUGAAAUCCUACAGCUUAACUGUAGAACUGCCUUUGAUACUUUCAUUCUUGAGUUCGGGAGAGAGAGACGGAAUUCCAGGUGUAGUGGUGAAAUACGUAGAUAUCUGGAAGAACACCAGUUGCGAAGGCGGUCUCUUGGUCCGAUACUGACGCUGAGGCGCGAAAGCGUGGGGAGCAAACA